UUUACAGGCAGCCGGACCCAACAGCAGAACACGUCGCCACAUGCCUCUUUGAGGACAUUUUAAACACAGGAUGUCAAAUCGCAAAAUUGCACAUUCUGGUCAAAGUCAAGUGAUUGAAUGUCCAAUAUUCAUAUCUCUCAAAGCAGUAUAAAGAAAUAUGCCAAGAGGAUAACAAUUCUCAAUUUGGACUGACACUGGCACAGAGGUAUUCAUUUAUUUAUUUAUUAAAUAUAGAUGCUAGAAGGGAAAUACAUUUAUGUCAGUUUAUCAUAUUUUAAUCAUGUGCAACCAAUGUACAUGAUCGAAUUCAAUGCUUGUUUCACGGCGUAAAAAAAGGAACAGAAAUGUGUUAUUCUCUCUGCUCCUUUUCCAUUCAAAUGCUGUCGUUUCAUGUAAACAUGUCUUUUUCUUUUAUAUAAUGAAAUGAAUUGGCCAAAUGAAAAAUGAAUUGUAAAACAACAAAAAAAAGUAUACAGUUGGGCAUAAUUGAUGGUAGAGAUAGAGAUGUCAAUGUAGUCUCGCCACGCUGCACUAGUUGCAUAUCUGUUGUUGACCAAUACUGGCCGCUCACGCCACACGGUCGCAUGUGCACCACUUGCACACUGACUGAGGAGUAUCUGCAACAUUUGCACCAUCGCCAUUGUCCCAGACUAUCGCGCUGCUCGUCACUUGAAACUGCAUACGCUCCUUGAGGUCUCGGCGCCCUUUGCGCAAUGGUCAUUGCGACGGACUGUUGCUACAUUAGUCAUUAGUCUUUUUGCAGAAUUGUCCAAAAAAAAAUUCUCAAUGUCUUUAUGGCUCAAAAGUGUUCUCAGUCGACUGUCUGUUGUCAUACUAGACUGACUCCAACUACCGGAGACAAAUCCCUUGCGUGAUUUUUGGACAUACUUGGCAAAUAAAGAUGAUUCCGAUUCUGAUAAAGAUGAUUCUGAUUCAAUCAACCUACCGUGCAUGAUUUUGGGAUGUGGGAGGAAACUCAUAUAUAACUCAUUUCAGCCGCUUGCACCCGCGAUCUUGUUCUUUCUCGUUCUUGUUCUUGGUGAAAAAGCUCCUCGGUGACCUCAACCUCAUUCCUUUAAUAUGUUUUCAUACAAUACUAGUGCUAUUUUUCUUUCUUAAAGAUUUGAAGAAAAUGGUGGUUCUAUUUUGGGAACUGUAACUGAAACGUCAACUGGAACACAUAAGAGGGAGCAUAACACAAGCCAAAGGGAGAAACUCAAUCGUCUCCCCUAGAAACGAGACGGCGGACACCGGAUCGAGAGCUGGACUCCACCCAGCGCAUCCAGUGGCUGCAUGCUGUCAUGUGCCGAGCGCGAUAGAUACCUUUGCACACUAUUCUGUUACCAGCGAUCAUUUAUUCAUUUACAUUUGUUAAUGUCAGCCCCCCCCCCCUCCCCCCCCCCCCAACAUAUAUACGUAUAUUGUACGGGUGUAUCGCAACACAUUGGAAUUGUGGAAAACUUCAUUUAUUUGAAUAUAUUUUCAGUUCAGUUCCAUAAGUGAAGCACGUGUACAGAGAGACCACUGCAAAAUUAUUAGAUUGUCUGAUAUUGCUAUUUCAUUAGCCUAAUAGUUAAUAAUAAUCGCCUACGUCAUUUUUGACUGACUGUCGCAGUGACAAGAUAAAAUAGCAAAGGUCUCGCUAAAAAAAAGUUGUUGUUUUUUUUCUUUGCAUCUGUGCAGAGUGUCAGUUCUCCAGGUCAUGGUAAUUCGAAAAGGUCAAACCGAGGAAAGUGGUGUCUUUUUGACUUUUGGAUUGUAUUCAAACAUGUACAUCGGUCGCACAGGAUUAAAAUGUGGUAAACUAACGUAUAUUAUUUUUUGAUUUGAGAAGAGAAGAAGGGAAAAUGACAUCAGUUUACUACAUUUUAAUCAUGUGCCACCGACGUACAUGAUCAAAUGAAGUACUUUUUUUUUCAGUGUUGGAGGAAAAAGAACAUUUUUGUUUUAUUCUGAUUGACUGAUUUUAUUUUUUCAUCUUUUUUUUUUUUUUUUUUUUUUCCCAAGACAAGACAAAACCAAUUAUUAUAUUAUUCAAGCAUAAACCGAAAAGGUUUAGGCUUUUUAACUUUUUACCUGCCCCUUUCACUAUAUUUAAAAAAAAUAUAUAUAUAUAUUUUUGUAUUGUAUUGACACCAAUGUGUUUAAUGAAUCUAUAUAAUAUAUGAGUUUCACUUUUCUAAUUGAACUAUGAAAUAAACUUUUCGCACCAUCGUCGUAUUUGUAUAGAUUACGCUACUGUUCUGCAGUAAAACUAGUAAAACGAGUGGUACACGGACUCCCUCUAAUGGUACAUGAAAGAAUCACAGCCUAAGUACAAUUCAUUAAAUGUUUAAUAACUGUGACAAUUUAGGUACCAUUUUAAUGUAACUUUUAUGUGUAAUAUUUUUGUAUUGAACCAUUAUCUAAGGACAUUUUUUUAAAUUAUUUUCCUAUAUUUAAGCGCAGUGUUGAUUUUCAAACCGUCCAUAAAGUUACAGUGGCCCUAGAAAUUAAAUACACAGGAGACAUAGUGAGGAGGCUUCAUUUGCAUUUUACCAAACCAACUUGGUGCCUCAGUAAACGUGAAAUAUGAAUUGAAAUCAUCGAGGCAUUCCUGAGUUCUAGAGGUUUUUCUGCCGAGAGGCCUGGAAUCAGGUCAUUUGAAUUUCUCCGCCUACCUCUCCGUUCUGAGCCAGCGCUGUCACAAGAGGGUCUUCUACAUGGAGGCAACCAAUCAGAGGAAAGGGGGGGCGGUUUUCGCCAAAGAUGGACAAAGCGGAUACAAAGCUGGGUCAAACAGAAGUAGCUGUCAGAGGGGCCUUUUCUGAACACUCGUAUGACAAAACCAGUGUGGUUUUUUUUUUCUUUCUUUUUAUGAAAUA